GCCCUGCUGAUGAGUGCCAACUAGGACGAAACCUAGGUCCAGGGC
rnacentral:hammerhead_ribozyme from 1 species